UAUUGACCUUGUUAGGUGAGGCUCCUAUGCAAACACAGGCCACUGCCCAGAAAUAUCGAGAGAUGCCCAUGGGUAGAACAGGAAUUGCCGGAUUAAGGCUUUUCAUAAGGUGGCUAAGAGAUACAUCCCCUUCUCUUUACGUUGCAUAGUGCUAAAACUCAACUAGGGGGCCGAAU
rfam:Paenibacillus sp. 11 genome assembly, contig: Ga0139009_105